UUUUCAGUUGUUUCAAGCUAAUGAAGCCGAGCUGCCUGCAAAUCCUGUGAUCCUCCCUGAUAACAGCCUAUGCUGUACCCUGAAUCAGCACACAAAAUUCUAACUAUCAAGCCAGGACCAGGAACGCAGCCCCCUCCAUGACACAGCUGUGAAAUCCUACCUCUAAAGCAGGAAUUUUUGGAGAAGCCGUGCAACCAAGCAGUCAGGAGACAGAGGAGAGCCAGCAGAAGGACAGGAAUGUCUUGCUGCUAUCUGACAGGGAUAGGAUCUUCUGACAGACGGGGAAGUGAGGUAUGUGCAGCUCCUUGGUAAGCCUCCCUUCCUGCCACAGCUCCAGGAACACAAAGGCCCUUUCUGUGAUUUGCCUCUCAUGCAUUAAUGAAUCCGGGAAGAUCACAGCCGUCUUCAGAGAAGGAAACAUAAAACCCCUUUCAGAGCACUUGGAAUGGCAUUUGGCAGUCUUCAAGAUAAGUUCACAUGUCUUUUCCCCCCAGUGGGAAUGAUAAUGAUAGUAUCAGCUCUUCUUGUAAUUCUGAAUGCACAGGAAGGGCUUUUUCAGACCCAUCCAGCUAGUGAAAACCACCUGGUUACAAGUCAGACUCUGUGGAUCACACACACGGUUCUAUUCUCUUCUCUCCCACAAAG